AACGAACGCUGGCGGCAGGCCUAACACAUGCAAGUCGAGCGAGGACUUCGGUCCUAGCGGCGGACGGGUGAGUAACGCGUGGGAACGUGCCCUUUGCUACGGAAUAGCCCCGGGAAACUGGGAGUAAUACCGUAUGUGCCCUUCGGGGGAAAGAUUUAUCGGCAAAGGAUCGGCCCGCGUUGGAUUAGGUAGUUGGUGGGGUAAUGUCCUACCAAGCCGACGAUCCAUAGCUGGUGUGAGAGGAUGAUCAGCCACACUGGGACUGAGACACGGCCCAGACUCCUACGGGAGGCAGCAGUGGGGAAUCUUAGACAAUGGGGGAAACCCUGAUCUAGCCAUGCCGCGUGAGCGAUGAAGGCCUUAGGGUUGUAAAGCUCUUUCAGUGGGGAAGAUAAUGACGGUACCCACAGAAGAAGCCCCGGCUAACUCCGUGCCAGCCGCCGCGGUAACAC
rnacentral:rRNA from 1 species